UACAGAGGGUGCAAGCGUUGUUCGGAAUUAUUGGGCGUAAAGGGCGCGUAGGCGGUUCAGCAAGUCUCUAGUGAAAUCUCAGGGCUCAACUCUGAGUCUGCUGGGGAAACUGCCGGGCUUGAGUGUGGGAGAGGAGAGUGGAAUUCCCGGUGUAGAGGUGAAAUUCGUAGAUAUUGGGAAGAACACCAGUGGCGAAGGCGGCUCACUGGCCCGUAACUGACGCUGAGGUGCGAAAGCGUGGGGAGCAAACAGG
rnacentral:rRNA from 1 species